rnacentral:lncRNA from 1 species
UGCUGGAGUUCCCAUUGUGGCUCAGCAGGUUAAGGACCCAGCGUAGCUUCGGUGAGGAUGCUGCUUUGAUCCCUGAUCUUGCUCUGUGGGUUAAGGAUCUAGCAUAGCCACAAGCUGUGGCAUAGGUCACAGAUGCAGCUCAGAUCUGAUGUUGCUGUGGCUGUAGUGUAGGCCAGUUGCAGCUCCAGUUUGACCCCUAGCCCGGAAACUUCCAUGUGUUUCAGGUGCAGCCAUAAAAAGAAAAAAAAAAAAAAAAGAAAGAAACUCUCUGAACUGUGUAAUCUUUAGUCAUUCAUAUAUGCUAUUUUAAUUUAUCUGCACAGUAAUCUAAACAUAUCUGUUUCUAUCCCCACUUUUCUAAGGGGAAAUUGAGGUUCAAUACACCUGUGUCAUUUUUCCUCUAUUAUAUUAGCGUCUCUGAACCUCAGCUAUAAAAUGGAAAUAACUGUGAUGUUUUUACCUGACACCUAGGAUUGAUUAUCAGGUGUUUGAUUGUUGUCAUUGUUGUGCUUCUGUUUAAUUUUAAUAUUUACUGGACACCGACUCCGUGCCAAGCUGUCCACUAAAUACUUUCAAAUACAUCAUCUCAAAAAGCAUCCUCAUGACAACCUGAUUGAAAUUACGUCUCUUUUACAGAUGAAGACUCUAAGUCUCCAAGAGACCCAAUCAUUUUCUCAGGUCCAUUCAGCUAAAAUCCAAGCUCAGAUUUAUCUUACUCCAAUAUGCAGAAUCUAUUCACAAAGCCCAGGGCCUUCACAUUUUAUGGUUCAGAGAAUAAAACAUGCUAAUGUAAAAAGUAAUCUUUGAAAUGACAGCAUAAAGGGGAAAUAUAAUUUUGAACAAAAUUGAAUGCGUUUUGUGACCAAAACCAAUGCCAUUAACUUCUUUAUUUCUUUUGCUUUUGUAUCAUAAUUUGAAAUUAAACUAUGCACUUCAAUCACUUAUUCUUUAUUUAUUCAAAGAAACAUCAGGUAACUUCCUCAUGGGAGUGAGCACUAAGGAACUAGCAAGGGAAACCUUCAGGACAGGCUUGGCUUAGGUGAACAGUGAAGGCUGAACUAGGUAAGUGAGGAGACAGGAUAGAAAGGAAAUACAUAUAAAGACCGCGUGGUGUGACAGAGAGAACCACUAAAGUGGGACCCCCAAACCAGGGGAGAGAUGUAUUCCCAUUUGUUGAUUCCUGAAUAUGUUAAGAGAUAGACAAGCAAAGAAGGGAGAUUAGGAAUUCCAAGGAGUGGAAGUGACGUAUAUAAAAACUAUAAAUCUAAGAAAUCUGGGUGAGUUCUGGGACAGGCAAUAGUUCCAGGUCUUUGCACUGAAAUCAUGGUGAGUGACAGGAGACAGUGACAGGGCCACAUCCUUUCAGAUCUGAAACCUUCAAAAAUUGAGGGACACUCUUUCAGAAAAACACUCACAAUUAGAUUAAGGCAGUACAUAUGGAUUUAAAAUGAGAAAAGAAAUCACACACACACACAAAUAACUGGGUCUGGGACUUCCCUCCAGGCUCACUGGGUUGCAGACCCAGCUUUGUCACUGCUAUGGCUUGUCACUGCUGUGGCAUGGGUUUGAUCCGUAGCCCAGGAAAUUUCCAUGUGCCUUUGAUCCGUAGCCCAGGAAAUUUCCAUGUGCCUUGGACGCUUGCCUAGUUCUCACCUAGCCCUAGGCUCCCCAUAGGGCCAAGGAGGGUCUGGGCUGCCUCUGGCUCCGUGGGCACUGCUGCUUGGCUGGUGGUCUCCGCAGCUGGAAACCAACUCCAAAUGUCUUCUCCUUCGCGGAGAAGGCUGAUUUCACCUGAAGAAGCCCUGUUUGCACUGGCCCUAGCAACCCACCCAUAGCCAGCUAGGGAGGGACCCACCUAGGGCCUAUCUCCGAAACGGCACAAAACGCACUCCUAGGAGCUGCAUUCUGCAAAGGGAAACUGUGCUCGGGGAACAUAUAUAUAUAUAUAUAUAUAUAUAUAUAUAUAUAUAUAUAUACACACACACACACACACACAUAUAAGAGAUUUCCCUUCAAGCUUGAAGUCAGCUGCCAUAUUGUGAAAGGGCAUAUGGCAAGGAACUAUGAACAGCUUCUAGGAACUCUGAGCAGACAGCCAACAUGAAAACAGGGACCUCAGCCAUGUAACAGCAAGAAAUUGAAUUCCGUCAACAACUAUGUGAGCUUGGAAUGGAACCCCAAGCUCCAGAAUGGAGCAUAGCCUGGCUGACAUCUUUGCUGCAGUUUUAGGAGACCCUGUGCAGACGACCCAGAGAAGCUGUGCCUGGACUCCUACUGCAUAGAAACUGUGAAAUAAUAAAUAUGUGUUGUUUUAGGCUCUUAGGUUUGUGAUGGUUUGUUAAGCAGCAAUAGAAAACCAAAUACAUCAAGAAAACCAAAACAAGAAGAGUUGGGUAUGCCAUACAUUGAAAUUCAUAGCACUGCAAUGAUUGAUUUAUAUAAUAGAACCAUUACAACAAAAAAAUGGUUUGACCUACAAGUUUGUGACACUUUUAAAUGUCUCUGUGGGAUAUAAUGUAAGGGCAGCUGUUCUGAUUUCAAAUACUGGUGCCAAUUUACUUGGUGACCCUGGGUUCAUCACUCUCUUCUCUAGGUUUCAGAGUUCUUGUCUUCACAGUGUGGGGAGGGGAUAACUUGGUCUCCAAGGAUUUCCCAGCUCUGAUAAUUUUAUGAAAUUCUCAGAUAUGCUAUCAGAUGGCAGUCUCCUUGAAAGGCAGUGGCCCCUCUGUACUUUUGCAUUGGUUCCCUAAGUAUAGACACUCUGUUUUCUUUCCAUUUCAAAAUGGACUGGAUUCUGAUUUAAAAUCCCCUGUCCACAAAAUAUAAGGGUGUAAAUGAUGCAUUCUCAGAAACAAUCUUUUCUCUUAGAUUAACCACACCUAAAAUGGGAAUCUUCUUGACCUGCAAGUCUUCAUUUAGAACUUGCUGAUUCAAUAGAAAGACAUCAAAUUAUAUCCACUGUUAAUUUUAAAUUAACUCAAAGUAUUUAAUUAACACCUCUUCAAACAGAAAAAAA